rnacentral:rRNA from 1 species
UACAGAGGCCCCAACAUUACCCGGAAUCACUGGGCGUAAAGGAUGUGUAGGCGGCGAUAUUAGUCUUUCGUAAAAGCUCUCGGACUCAAUCCGGGAAAUGCGGGAGAAACGGUAUGGCUGAGAGGACGCGAGAGGUACAGGGAACUCAUGGUGUAGGGGUGAAAUCCGUUGAUAUCAUGGGGAACACCAAAUGCGAAGGCACUGUACUGGCGCGCUCCUGACGCUGAAACAUGAAAGCGUGGGAAUCGAACGGG